rnacentral:lncRNA from 1 species
AUUUGACCAUGAUGCAAAAUAGAAAAUUGUCAAUACAGAAGGUAUACAUUCAUGCAUCUCCCCUUUCAUGAGCGGCUUGUUUGACCAUGCCACUCAAAAGAAGUGCUGGUAAAAGGCGGCAAGUACCAGCCUAACACAACAACAGUAAACUGCAUCAGCAUGAAUGUAUACAAGCUUUGAAUUAUGUCAUAGCAGUUCCCACUGGUAUAUAGUUUCAUACUUAGUUUGUUUACAAGAUUUGUCAUAAAUUAUCGGUAUUAUAUUAAGAAUUUGAGUUGGUGAAAUUUACUCAACCGGGCUUGACUACUUAAUAUAAGUAGAGUAAAUGUUGUCAUUUACCGGCAGUGCUGAGUAAAUUAUACUGAUCUUCUUGAGUAAAGCUGUUGUUUACUCUUUACUCAAAAUUUGAGUACAUCUCUUCUCACGAUUUUGAGUAAAUUCUUCAUUUACUCAAAAUUGAGUAAAAAUGUGUAUUUACUCAAAAUAUUGAGUUGGUGACAUUUACUCAACCCUUGAGUAAAGUACAUUUUGUCAUGUACUCAGUGUGGAGUAAUUUAUACUCUUCUCUUUAAGUAGCAGUUACUCAAAGAAUUUUACUCAAAAUUCGGAGUUGUUGUUUACUCACGUUUAUGAGUAAAGAGUGCAAUAUACUCAAAUUAUUGAGUAAUUGGUGCAAUUACUCAAAAAAUGAGUAACAUUUACUCAAAUGAAAAAAUGCAUUUUUUGCAGUGCGUGGAGCACUAAUGACUACUGUUUUGGUGAGCCUCCUUAAAACAGCUGUAUAUUAAGAACUCAUUACAUGUAAAUGUAUGUUACUCCGUGUUGGUCAACACUAGCAAGCUGACUGAGAUCGCUUGAGGGCGUUGAGAACCUAGCCCGCGGUCCUUCGGUUUUCUGGUUCAAUCCCCUACCACUUGGAAUAUUACAGUAUAUUGCCUCUGUAUUCAAUGAGGCAGCUACGGAUUGAGAGAUACAACUACCUUAAAAUGUAUGCAGAACUUCCGAUCGACGUUUCGAGCAAAGACCCUCGUCGGAAAGUUAAUUUGUAAUAUACCGUACACAGGGUUCGUAGCGGCCUUUGAAAUCCUUGAAAGUCUUUAAAUUUGAAUGCAGGUCUUUAAGGUCUUUGAAAAAUCUUUGAAUUGUGUGAAAAAGCGAACAAAGUCUUUAAAAGUCGUUAAAUUCUUUAGUGAGUAUUUGAUUAUACGAUUUCUUAGCUAAUAAAAUGAUUGAUUGAAGAAAAGUUUUCGCAAUAUGGACGAAAAAGUGCAUUUUAGGAUGUGAUUUGACGGGACUAAUUACCUGGUAAAAAUGGUGGGGCCUCAGUGGCACAGUAGUGGAGUUUUGGUGGCGCUGUCGUCAGAACAAGCGUCUUUCAUCUCUGAGAUCCUGGCUUCGAUUUUCGCUACGGACUCGUGUGAAAAGUGUCUCCAUGUCGUCGUUCUGCCGAAAGUCGUGGGUUUUCUCCAGGCUCUCCGGUUUCCUGCCACAGGGAAAGUUGAGAGGAUGGAUUAGGAUAACACAGUUGGAACUGCAAUAUUACAGUUGUUGUAAAGAUAAAUUGUCUAAGCUAAGUAUAAGUAGUACAGGUAAGCAUAAUACUUGAUGUAAUCGGUCACUGAAAGUGUAAAGCCCCGAAGGGUCAUGGGGAGUGAGCCGAAUAAUGAUAAUGUAUGAAACUAGAAUUUGACCGUAUUAUGUAAUGACGUGUUUAACCCAAUGUAGGUAUUGUUUGUCUGCCUUGGUGGAUUUGCCGGAUAUGUGGCGGCCCGAAUCUACAAAUGUAAGUUUAUAUACGGUCGAAGCUGUAUUAAUAAGCCAUGCUUGUAUAAGGAAUUGUUUUUAGUCAAUUCAAUGUCAUGUAUAUAUAUGUACGUAUUCAUGUUCUGUUUGUUUCCUCUGUAGUAUUUGGUGGUGAACGAUGGAAAACCAACGUCCUAAUGACUUGCUUUUUGUUUCCUGGGU